rnacentral:rRNA from 1 species
AAUCAACGCUGGCGGCGUGCGUAACACAUGCAAGUCGAACGAGAAAGCGGGGGCAACUCCGUUAGUAAAGUGGCAGACGGGUGAGUAACACGUGAACAAUCUACCUUCGAGUGGGGAAUAACCCCGCGAAAGCGGGGCUAAUACCUCAUAACAUCCUGGGAUCGCAUGGUCCGGGGAUCAAAGGCUUCGGUCGCUCGGAGAGGAGUUCGCGCCUGAUUAGCUAGUUGGUGAGGUAACGGCCCACCAAGGCGACGAUCAGUAGCCGGCCUGAGAGGGCGUACGGCCACACUGGAACUGAGACACGGUCCAGACUCCUACGGGAGGCAGCAGUGGGGAAUUUUGCGCAAUGGGCGAAAGCCUGACGCAGCAACGCCGCGUGGAGGAUGAAGGUCUUCGGAUUGUAAAGCUCUGUCUUUAGGGACGAUAAUGACAGUACCUAAGGAGGAAGCCACGGCUAACUACGUGCCAGCCGCCGCCGUAAGAC